CUGUAAAUGUAGCGGAUAGCGGUUGUCACGUUUGUUUCCGUAAAGGGAUGUCAGUCAUCCUAGGAGACUAAAGGCAGUGGUGGGGCUUCUGCACCUGGCUUCUGGACCCUUCGCCCGCAUCCGGGCUGCAGCCGUGUGUGUGUCUGUGUCUGCAAACAAGUUCAUCCCCUUUCCACUUAUGUGGAAAAGCUAGGAGCCAAAUGUUUGUAUUAACCAAGGAGAUUUGAAAACCAGCAGCAGUUUUCAGCAAGUCCUGGAUGAGUGGAACUAAAGUUGCAGAUGGAACUAAGGUACACAAUCAGAGUGACCCAAAAGGUGAAGAAUUCAACCUUCCAUUGCUGCCUUUGAAGAGAGAGGAAGGCACCAUUAGUCAAAGAAUGCCAUUAGCUUACAGGAGCUGGAAAGAUCAGAGGAAUAGCUGGAUCUCUAGAGUCCCUGGAAAGACUGAAGCCCUGAUGAUUAAUGCCUGCAGUUUAGUCCCAUGAAACCCUUUUGGACUUCUGUUCUCACAACUGUAUAAUGAUACAUUUGUGCUGUUCUAAGUUACUAAAUUUGUGUUGGCUUCUAUAGCAAUUGCAGAUAACAAAAUAUGUGAAAC
rnacentral:lncRNA from 1 species